UGCAAGUCGAGCGGAGCGAGGGUGCUUGCACCUUAGCUGAGCGGCGGACGGGUGAGUAAUGCUUAGGAAUCUGCCUAUUAGUGGGGGACAACAUUCCGAAAGGAAUGCUAAUACCGCAUACGCCCUACGGGGGAAAGCAGGGGAUCUUCGGACCUUGCGCUAAUAGAUGAGCCUAAGUCGGAUUAGCUAGUUGGCGGGGUAAAGGCCCACCAAGGCGACGAUCUGUAGCGGGUCUGAGAGGAUGAUCCGCCCCACUGGGACUGAGACACGGCCCAGACUCCUACGGGAGGCAGCAGUGGGGAAUAUUGGACAAUGGGCGGAAGCCUGAUCCAGCCAUGCCGCGUGUGUGAAGAAGGCCUUUUGGUUGUAAAGCACUUUAAGCGAGGAGGAGGCUACUUAGAUUAAUACUCUAGGAUAGUGGACGUUACUCGCAGAAUAAGCACCGGCUAACUCUGUGCCAGCAGCCGCGGUAAUACAGAGGGUGCGAGCGUUAAUCGGAUUUACUGGGCGUAAAGCGUGCGUAGGCGGCUUUUUAAGUCGGAUGUGAAAUCCCCGAGCUUAACUUGGGAAUUGCAUUCGAUACUGGGAAGCUAGAGUAUGGGAGAGGAUGGUAGAAUUCCAGGUGUAGCGGUGAAAUGCGUAGAGAUCUGGAGGAAUACCGAUGGCGAAGGCAGCCAUCUGGCCUAAUACUGACGCUGAGGUACGAAAGCAUGGGGAGCAAACAGGAUUAGAUACCCUGGUA
rnacentral:rRNA from 1 species